CCUACGGGCGGCAGCAGUGGGGAAUAUUGGACAAUGGGCGAAAGCCUGAUCCAGCCAUGCCGCGUGUGUGAAGAAGGCCUUCGGGUUGUAAAGCACUUUCAGUGGGGAAGAAAGCCUUGGGGCUAAUACCCUCGAGGAAGGACAUCACCCACAGAAGAAGCACCGGCUAACUCCGUGCCAGCAGCCGCGGUAAUACGGAGGGUGCGAGCGUUAAUCGGAAUUACUGGGCGUAAAGCGCGCGUAGGCGGUCUGAUAAGCCGGUUGUGAAAGCCCCGGGCUCAACCUGGGAACGGCAUCCGGAACUGUCAGGCUAGAGUGCAGGAGAGGAAGGUAGAAUUCCCGGUGUAGCGGUGAAAUGCGUAGAGAUCGGGAGGAAUACCAGUGGCGAAGGCGGCCUUCUGGACUGACACUGACGCUGAGGUGCGAAAGCGUGGGUAGCGAACAGGAUUAGAUACCCUGGUAGUC
rnacentral:rRNA from 1 species